GGAUGCGAUUAUACACGCAAUAAUGCACCGGAUCCCAUCAGAACUCCGAAGUUAAGCUUGCUUGGGCGAGAGUAGUACUAGGAUGAGUGACCUCCUGAGAAGGCCUCGUGUUGCACCCC